AUUGAACGCUGGCGGCAUGCUUUACACAUGCAAGUUGAACGGUAACAGGCCGCAAGGUGCUGACGAGUGGCGAACGGGUGAGUAAUGCAUCGGAACGUGCCCAGUCGUGGGGGAUAACUACUCGAAAGAGUAGCUAAUACCGCAUACGAUCUAUGGAUGAAAGCGGGGGACCGUAAGGCCUCGCGCGAUUGGAGCGGCCGAUGUCAGAUUAGGUAGUUGGUGGGGUAAAGGCUCACCAAGCCAACGAUCUGUAGCUGGUCUGAGAGGACGACCAGCCACACUGGGACUGAGACACGGCCCAGACUCCUACGGGAGGCAGCAGUGGGGAAUUUUGGACAAUGGGCGCAAGCCUGAUCCAGCAAUGCCGCGUGCAGGAAGAAGGCCUUCGGGUUGUAAACUGCUUUUGUACGGAACGAAACGGCUCUGGUUAAUACCCGGGGCUAAUGACGGUACCGUAAGAAUAAGCACCGGCUAACUACGUG
rnacentral:rRNA from 1 species